rnacentral:lncRNA from 1 species
CGUCAGCGGCCUCCAGGGUUGCUCCAGCCGCGAAUCCCGCUGCCCUUUGCCCCGCGGGCCUCCCAAGGCAGCCCCCUGUUAGCCCGACCGGCUUCGAAGCCCGCGCCGGUUGCGGAUCCUCCGCCGCGCCCACCUGUCAGCGCCUCGGCCGGCCGGGGCUCCCGCCGCAUGCAAGCAGCGAGGCGAGGUCGCGCUGAGGCCUGGCCAUGCCACGGACGGCCGGGCCUCACCCUGCCGCUCUCUCGCCGUCCAGAGGCCCCUGCUCCACACCUGGGUACCCUGGGUCCUGACUCAGGUGGGCUGGGUCAUCCCCGUCCAUCAGGGAAGGUAGUGCGGGCGCCCGCGGAGGGGCUGGUUCCCACGUUCGUCCUAUCAGGUUCCCCACGUACUCCUUCGCCCAGUGUCCUGCGGCCGGGCCCGGCGGAUUCAGAAUGGGACCUGGCGUUCUGAGACACAGCCCCAGUGCCGGUAGUGGGGGGUGGUGGACUGCACUCCGGGGCCAUUUAAUGUCUUUAGGCCUUGAGUCUCGGCUUCGGUCCCAGUCAACGCCAACGGGAGAGGAAAGAGGAACCAAGUGGGGUCCCCAGACUUCCAAGCAAGGUGGGCUGGCUAACGUCCCUCCUACCUGUCGCAGGGCAGCUGGGUGAGAAGCUAACGGCUUGAAGGAACAGGGCUACAAGGGGAGUUUGUGCUGGGCCUGGCGUCCCAGGCUGUGGACUGGAACUGGACAUGAGAACCCCCCCUACACCCUCCCAAGUCAAAGACACUCCAAAAAGACAGUUUCUCCACUUUAUUAGCCUGGAGCUCCUCCCUGCCAGCCCCAGGGGCUGGUCGCUGGUCCCUGGGCAC